rnacentral:rRNA from 1 species
GUAGUCUCGCACAGAUGCAUAUCAAUAAGCGGAGGAAAAGAAACUAACAAGGAUUCCCCUAGUAACGGCGAGUGAAGCGGGAAGAGCUCAAAUUUGAAAUCUUAAAGGGUUUCCCUUUACGAAUUGUAGUUUAAAGAAGUGUUUUCUGUUGAGGUUUUGGUAAAAGUUCUUUGGAAUAGGACAUCAUAGAGGGUGAGAAUCCCGUAUUUGACCUUUACUUUCAACUUUGUGAUACACUUUCAAAGAGUCGGAUUGUUUGGGAAUGCAGUCCAAAAUGGGUGGUAAAUUUCAUCUAAAGCUAAAUAUUGGCGAGAGACCGAUAGCGAACAAGUACCGUGAGGGAAAGAUGAAAAGAACUUUGAAAAGAGAGUUAAACAGUACGUGAAAUUGUCAAAAGGGAAGCGUUUGACACCAGUGUUGUUUUUCUGAAAAUCAAUUAAAGAACUGUUUAUGCUAAGUUGUUUAGACUUUAUCAGCUAACUGUUUAGUUUUGAGCUUUUCUUUAAUGCACUUUUCAGUUAACAAGUCAACAUCAAUUUCUUUUGCUGUAAAAAAGCUUGAGGAAGGUGGCUUGAGAUUCGUCUUAAGUGUUUAUAGCCUCUUGCCUAUGCAGUCGGAGAGAUUGAGGUCUGCAGCGUAGAUCCUUCGGGGCUAAAUGCAUUUGUGCUAAGUUAUAACAUUUUAUAGACAACUUGUUGACUAUGAUUUGUCUUGUAGCUUACUCGCUUAUGUUAUUUUACCUACGCUUAGGAUGUUGACGCAUGAGAUAUACG